AGUGAACGCUGGCGGUAGGCCUAACACAUGCAAGUCGAACGGCAGCACAGUAAGAGCUUGCUCUUACGGGUGGCGAGUGGCGGACGGGUGAGGAAUACAUCGGAAUCUACUUUUUCGUGGGGGAUAACGUAGGGAAACUUACGCUAAUACCGCAUACGACCUACGGGUGAAAGCAGGGGAUCUUCGGACCUUGCGCGAUUGAAUGAGCCGAUGUCGGAUUAGCUAGUUGGCGGGGUAAUGGCCCACCAAGGCGACGAUCCGUAGCUGGUCUGAGAGGAUGAUCAGCCACACUGGAACUGAGACACGGUCCAGACUCCUACGGGAGGCAGCAGUGGGGAAUAUUGGACAAUGGGCGCAAGCCUGAUCCAGCCAUACCGCGUGGGUGAAGAAAGCCCUCGGGUUGUAAAGCCCUUUUGUUGGGAAAGAAAAGCAGCAGGUUAAUACCCCGCUGUUCUGACGGUACCCAAAGAAUAAGCACCGGCUAACUUCGUG
rnacentral:rRNA from 1 species